AUUGAACGCUGGCGGCAGGCCUAACACAUGCAAGUCUAACGAGUGGCGGACGGGUGAGUAAUGUCUGGGAAACUGCCUGAUGGAGGGGGAUAACUACUGGAAACGGUAGCUAAUACCGCAUACCAUCAGAUGUUCCCAGAUGGGAUUAGCUUGUUGGUGGGGUAACUGCUCACCAAGGCGACGAUCCCUAGCUGGUCUGAGAGGAUGACACGCCACAUUGGAACUGAGACACGGUCCAGACUCCGACGGGAGGCAGCAGUGGGGAAUAGUGCACAAUGGGAGCAAGCCUGAUACAGCCAUGCCGCGUGUAUGAAGAAGGCCUUAGGGCUGUAAAGUACUUUCAGCGGGGAGGCGUUACCCGGAGAAGAAGCAACGGAUAACUCCGUGCCAGCAGCCGUGGUAAUAC
rnacentral:rRNA from 1 species